ensembl:lncRNA
CGCCUCGGAGAGCUGGGAGGGGGCCCAGCGGGGCUCCUGGCGAGGCGCCCGCACGCUGUGAGCCCUUCCCAAACGGCAGCUUAAAUUACAAACAAAAAGAGAAGCUGGGGAAGUCAGGAUGGGCCCAGGCUGCUUGUGACAGGGACCCACAUCCAGGCAGGAGGGAGGCCUGCUCUUCCCACCUUCCAGCUCUCGGAGCCACAUGCCCCGAAGCCCGUAGGCCUCCGUCCAGCUGCGCCUGGGCUGACAGUGUCCCCAUCUUCCCGGCGGGGCGAGGACCAGAGGGGCGCCUGCCAUCCUGCUCUCACCAUUGGGGUGAGCCCCUCUCUCAGCUCCCCCCGCCCGACGCUGUGUCAGCAGCUUGAGAACAAACCCCCCGGGAGUGGGUGCUGCUGGGAACACACCCUCAUGCGUCUCGGUACCACAAUACGAAGACGAGUCCAGAAAGAGGAGAAACAGGGUUCUAGAGAAAAUUGUUUCAAGGAGAAAAGCAAGCAACGCGAACAAAAGGUGGAGGAGGAGGAACAACUGAAAAUUCAGGAGACAAAGACUCCAGGGUCCUAGUGGACCACCAGCUGAGCACUAGUCGGUUGGCUGCUGUUUGAAAUAGCUCCUUAGCCCUGAACUAUGAUAGUAGCCUUGUUAAGGUGAGCACCACAAAACACUGUCCCGUCUCGGGUGUAGGAUGCGCUGGGAAUACCUGACCCUCUGUCUCUUUUUCGGGUGCCGUAAUCACUGUUUAUGAACUUGUAUCCUUCUCGUCUGUGGCCCCCACAGGAAACCAGGUGAGAAAGUUCGAGACUCUAUUCCCUUACUCUCCUUCAGCUCCCGACAAAGUGUAUCGAAGGCUGCUCUUUGCUUACCCCAUAUCCACAACCCUGUCUUCCUCGGCAACAGAAAGCCCAUAGUGUUGGGUGUAUCAGUGGGCUUUUUAUGAUACCACAGUUCCUAGCCAAUAGGAUGUAAGCAAAAGUUAUUGGGUGGGAUUCCUGGGAAAGUCCCUCAAGGAAGGCUGACUCAGCAGGGAGGCAUGCCCUUUCAACCUUGCCCCUUUCUCCUUCCCACUGCCUGGAAUGUGAAUGUGAUGUCUGGAGCUGCAGUAAUGAUUUUGGGAUCAUGAGGUGACCUCAAGGAUGGGAGCCUCACAUGGGUGACGGCAGAGAGCAGGAUGGAGGAGCCUGGGCCGCUGAUGGCUUUGGGGCUGCUGUAUUAAUCCUGGACCGGCUGCCUCUAGACUUUUCUACGUGAGAGAAAAAUUGAACCUCUAACUUAUUCUAGCCACCGUUCUUUUGGUUCUGUUCACCGUGGCCAGGUGCAAUUCUUAACCAAUACCAAGAGCUUUGGAGCACAUCCAGUGCAUCAUUUCCCAUGGCUAUUCAUAAAUAAAGAGGAAUUUGAUGUGGACGUGGCAGGGAGUCCCUAAGGUGACACCGGGAGGCGCAGCCUGCUGUUUGCAGGCCUGGGGACUUGUGUUGGCCUGGCCUUCUCUGCAGGAAUGGACGUGACAAGAGAUCUUCACAUAUCGGGGUAUAUGGCAUCGCUCUUCUCGUUCCAAGUGCAUUCAACUUGAACUAAAGAAGCCCGACUCAUCGGCUGUCACACGUACAUGGCACGUCUGCAUUAGCCGUUAAAGUAAAGAGUGCGUUAAACAUUAUCUCGGCAUAAAAGAACGCACCCUCUUUAAGAUAAGAACGCCUACUUCCAGGAUCCACAAAGCCCUUUGGUGACGCCUACUAGUCCUCCUGCAGGAAUUCUUUAGGGUUCCCUGGUGACCCUGAAGUAUGGUGCCCUAGAGGAAAGACAGGGGAAUGGUGAGUCCUUUCCUCUUCACUGGUGGCCUCCGUUACAGCAGCGACCUGGCCCUUCCUGGAUUUGUGGCCCACAUCAAGGCAGGAGAGAGAGAAGAAGGCUGAGGAAGGUGACAGCAGACGUGGUUUCCAAGGAAACAGGAAGCAAUCACCAGGCCCUCUGAGGAUCAUUAUUUCUUUGUCCUGCUAAAAGCCAGAUGCUCCCACCUUCUAAGCCAGCUCAGACGGUUGAGCAGGCACCAAAAUGGGUCCCCAGGGAGGAGACAAGGGGCUGGGGGAGCCUAUGGAGGGGGCGCUACUCCCUCUGCUGGACCCCCUUCCUCUCACGAGGCCUCCCCUUCC